GAAAACUUGUAACUACUUACAUCUCUUGAUUGCAAAUCAAGCACUUUAGAUAAGCUAAAGUCUU
rnacentral:tRNA from 1 species